AAUCAACGCUGGCGGCGUGCCCCAGACAUGCAAGUCGAACGAUUAAACUUUUCCUUCGGGGAAGAUAUAGAGUGGCGCACGGGUGAGUAACACGUAAGUAAUCUACCCUUGGGUGGGGGAAUAACAUCGGGAAACCGAUGCUAAUACCGCAUAAUGCAGCGGCUUCUUAUGAAGACAGUUGUUAAAGCAUUUAUGUGCCUGAGGAGGAGCUUGCGGCAGAUUAGCUAGNGGUAAGGUAAUGGCUUACCAAGGCGACGAUCUGUAGCCGACCUGAGAGGGUGGUCGGUCACACUGACACUGAAUAACGGGUCAGACUCCUACGGGAGGCAGCAGUCGGGAAUUUUGGGCAAUGGGCGCAAGCCUGGCCCAGCAACGCCGCGU
rnacentral:rRNA from 1 species